rnacentral:piRNA from 1 species
UUCUAUUGCUGUGGGUGCUGAUUAGC